AUUUACAUUUGAGUGAGUGGCGAACUGGUGAGUAACACGUGGGAAACCUGCCCAGAAGCGGGGGAUAACACCUGGAAACAGAUGCUAAUACCGCAUAACAACUUGGACCGCAUGGUCCGAGUUUGAAAGAUGGCUUCGGCUAUCACUUUUGGAUGGUCCCGCGGCGUAUUAGCUAGAUGGUGGGGUAACGGCUCACCAUGGCAAUGAUACGUAGCCGACCUGAGAGGGUAAUCGGCCACAUUGGGACUGAGACACGGCCCAAACUCCUACGGGAGGCAGCAGUAGGGAAUCUUCCACAAUGGACGAAAGUCUGAUGGAGCAACGCCGCGUGAGUGAAGAAGGGUUUCGGCUCGUAAAACUCUGUUGUUAAAGAAGAACAUAUCUGAGAGUAACUGUUCAGGUAUUGACGGUAUUUAACCAGAAAGCCACGGCUAACUACGUGCCAGCAGCCGCGGUAAUACGUAGGUGGCAAGCGUUGUCCGGAUUUAUUGGGCGUAAAGCGAGCGCAGGCGGUUUUUUAAGUCUGAUGUGAAAGCCUUCGGCUCAACCGAAGAAGUGCAUCGGAAACUGGGAAACUUGAGUGCAGAAGAGGACAGUGGAACUCCAUGUGUAGCGGUGAAAUGCGUAGAUAUAUGGAAGAACACCAGUGGCGAAGGCGGCUGUCUGGUCUGUAACUGACGCUGAGGCUCGAAAGUAUGGGUAGCAAACAGGAUUAGAUACCCUGGUAGUCCAUACCGUAAACGAUGAAUGCUAAGUGUUGGAGGGUUUCCGCCCUUCAGUGCUGCAGCUAACGCAUUAAGCAUUCCGCCUGGGGAGUACGGCCGCAAGGCUGAAACUCAAAGGAAUUGACGGGGGCCCGCACAAGCGGUGGAGCAUGUGGUUUAAUUCGAAGCUACGCGAAGAACCUUACCAGGUCUUGACAUACUAUGCAAAUCUAAGAGAUUAGACGUUCCCUUCGGGGACAUGGAUACAGGUGGUGCAUGGUUGUCGUCAGCUCGUGUCGUGAGAUGUUGGGUUAAGUCCCGCAACGAGCGCAACCCUUAUUAUCAGUUGCCAGCAUUAAGUUGGGCACUCUGGUGAGACUGCCGGUGACAAACCGGAGGAAGGUGGGGAUGACGUCAAAUCAUCAUGCCCCUUAUGACCUGGGCUACACACGUGCUACAAUGGAUGGUACAACGAGUUGCGAACUCGCGAGAGUAAGCUAAUCUCUUAAAGCCAUUCUCAGUUCGGAUUGUAGGCUGCAACUCGCCUACAUGAAGUCGGAAUCGCUAGUAAUCGCGGAUCAGCAUGCCGCGGUGAAUACGUUCCCGGGCCUUGUACACACCGCCCGUCACACCAUGAGAGU
rnacentral:rRNA from 1 species